AGAGCCAGAAGCUACCACAACCUUCUGAAUCUUCGACAGAUCAGCUCUGAGUUCAGUGGCUAGUCUUUCACUCUGGCAUACCUUCAACUCAAGCUUCCAAACCCAACAUGAACAGGCAGCUGGAAUACCCUUUGGAGAGUGCAGGACCAGGAGUGUGUUAAACCCUUUUUCUCCUUUUAUUAUUAUUAUUAUUUUUUUUAUUUUUUUUAUUUUUUUUGUUUAACACACUGCCUGUGGAGCUAUGAUUUAACAGUCAGGCAGAGCCUUCUCUCAGAACGUUGAUUUUU
rnacentral:lncRNA from 1 species